GACGAACGCUGGCGGCGUGCCUAAUACAUGCAAGUCGAACGCACCCUUCGGGGUGAGUGGCGCACGGCUGAGUAACACGUGGGAAUCUGUCUCCGAGUGGGGGAUAACGUCUCGAAAGAGACGCUAAUCCCGCAUACGCUCUGCAAAGAGGAAAGGCGCAAGUCGCUGGGAGAGGAGCCUGCGGCCCAUCAGGUAGUUGGAGAGGUAAUGGCUCACCAAGCCUAUGACGGGUAGCUGGUCUGUGAGGACAACCAGCCAGACUGGGACUGAGAACGGCCCAGACUCCUACGGGAGGCAGCAGUAAGGAAUUUUCGUCAAUGGGGGAAACCCUGAACGAGCAACGCCGCGUGGAGGAUGACGGUCUUCGGAUUGUAAACUCCUUUUGUGAGGGACGAUAAUGACGGUACCUCGCGAAUAAGCCCCGGCUAACUCUGUGCCAGCAGCCGCGGUAA
rnacentral:rRNA from 1 species